UGAGUCGGACGGGUGACCGCGGUUCGACGGCCUCACGGCCGAUCGAGUCGAGGAAGGUCGGGGCUCCACAGGGCAGGGUGCUGGCUAGCGGCCAGUCGGGGCGACCCGCAGGAAAGUGCCACAGAGAACAGACCGCCGAUGGCCGAGAGGCACAGGCAAGGGUGAAACGGUGCGGCAAGAGCGCACCAGCGCCCGGGGUGACCCGGGCGGCUCGGUAAACCCCACCCGGAGCAAGGCCGAACAGGGCAGGGCGACCCGCCCGUGUGCCUCCUCGGAGGCACGGAACCCAGGUAGGCCGCGUAGAUGGAUGGUCACCCCGCCGCUCCGGCGGCGGACAGAACCCCGCCUAUAGGCCGACUCACCGU
rnacentral:RNase_P_RNA from 1 species